rnacentral:lncRNA from 1 species
UCCUUCCAAGCCGAACAGAGGACGGCAGUCCUUCGGCCUUGACCGGCCGUUCGGGCCACGGCCGCCGCGAUGGAGGCCGGUGGCAGAGAGGGGCCAUUCCCCUGGUCACAGAGAGGUAUGGCCGAUCGAUUUCGAUCACCGGCGCAGGAAAAAUCCAAAGAAAAAGAGACCGAAACAGGGGUCUCUUUUCCGACCGAAAAUCGGCGACACCCGUCGCCGGCAGUCUCAAGCAAAGGUACGGAAAGAAAGGGAAGGAAGAGAGGG